rnacentral:piRNA from 1 species
UAUUCUCAGCCCUAUGUCUUACUCCA